UCGGCCACCAGCGCAACGACGAGCGCCAGCACGUCCGACAGCAUGUGGAAGGAGUCGGACAGCAUGGCGAGCGACGCGGUCACGCGGCUCACCACCACCUCCAGCACCAUGAACAUGAAGACGCGAAAACUGAACCCUCCUAGCUUUUUGGCUGGAAUAGGAGAGAGUGGAGAGGUUUCCAAGACUUUGUAAAGGACGGACAGAACCUGGUGAUAAGUUGAGCAUCGGGAAGGAAGAGCGCUGAGUGCUGGCUGUGGUGUUGGCGGGCUCAGGAACUCAGUACCUCUCCAUCAACACAGACAGCCGGGCCUUUUCCUCGAUCCAAAGGAAACACAGCUUCAGACCUAUAGAAGUCUAAAUUUGGAACCACUUCAGGGGUAAGAGGAAUAAGCAACAGAACAAAGAAUAAACUAGGAACAAUGUGGCAGUGAAGCCCAGAAAUAGUACAGAAGGCCUCAGAGGUGCCAGAGGAGCAUGUAAAGAGAUGCUGGGGGCAGGCAGCCCACUGGAGCAGACGGGAGCACAGCCUGUGGAGGAGAGACCUGCCCAACCAGGGGCAGGGAAUGUGGACCUUGUAGUUGUUGUGGAACUGAAGGCCACAGGUGAGAGCUCGUGUUGUGGGAUACUGAACGUGUGGUGUUCUCAGAGUGGAUAUAAGUUCUGUAGUCGUGGCUUAGAAAUUAAGUUAAGGCCCAGACACCAAGACUCACUGAGAGCACUUGGGAUCUCAGGCCUGUUUGCCUAGCUAUUUGGGAGGCUGAGGUAGGAGGGUGGUGAGUAUGAGGCCUGCCUGGGAUACAGGGUGAGUUUGAGGCCAGCCUGAGCAACUUAUGGAGACCCUGUCUCAAAACAAUAAGAGGGGCUGGAGAGCUGGCUGGUGGCUCAGAGCACUCGCUCUUGUAGAGGACUCAGGUCUGGUUCCCAGCACCCACAUCAGGAGGCUCACAACUGCCUAUAACUCAGGUUCUGGGGGAUCUGAGCCCUGCAAGCACUGAAUGGUGCACAUACAGGCAGACACAUACAAACAUGUACAUAAAAAUAAAUUAAAAAUUUCAAAAACAGUGAAAAAAGCUGGGGAUGUGGCCCUGUGACACACUGCUUGCCUAGCAUGUGGAAGACUUGUUCCCAGCACUGCAAAAAAGAAAGAAAAGGAAAAGAAACAAGUAUUUGUGGAUUUUAAAAUUACAUUUAUUUAUUUGAGUGUGUGAACACACACAUGCCACACGCAAGUGUGGAGAUCAGAAGACAAUUAACAGGUCAGGUUGUCAGGUGGGCGCCAGGCACCUUUACCUGCUGAGCCGUCUUGCCGGCCCUUGAAAAUGUUUUAGGCACUGUGUUACUUAAAAGCAGAAGCAGUUAAGGGCUCAGGUGCUCUCAAGGUUUAGACUUGAGUGCUCAUACUUUUUUGGUGGUGGUAGUUUUUUGAGGCAGGGUCUUGAGAUGCAGCCCAGGCUGACCUUGAA